rnacentral:rRNA from 1 species
GAUGAACGCUGGCGGCGUGCCUAACACAUGCAAGUCGAGCGCGAUUAAGUGGAGUGGAGACUUCGGUCAAAGCGAAGUUUAUGAAAGCGGCGGACGGGUGAGUAACGCGUGGGUAACCUGCCCCAUACAAAGGGAUAGCCACUGGAAACGGUGAUUAAUACCUUAUAAGUCGGUAGUCUCGCAUGAGACAGUCGACAAAGAUUUAUCGGUAUGGGAUGGACCCGCGUCUGAUUAGCUAGUUGGUGAGGUAACGGCUCACCAAGGCGACGAUCAGUAGCCGACCUGAGAGGGUGAUCGGCCACACUGGAACUGAGACACGGUCCAGACUCCUACGGAGGCAGCAGUGGGGAAUAUUGUCACAAUAGGCGGCAAGACCUCGAUGCAGCAACGACCGCCGU